CCUACGGGUGGCUGCAGUAGGGAAUCUUCCACAAUGGACGAAAGUCUGAUGGAGCAACGCCGCGUGAGUGAAGAAGGGUUUCGGCUCGUAAAGCUCUGUCAGCAGGGAAGAACGGUCACUGUGCUAAUCAGCAGUGAAUUGACGGUACCUGCAAAGGAAGCACCGGCUAACUCCGUGCCAGCAGCCGCGGUAAUACGGAGGGUGCGAGCGUUAAUCGGAAUUACUGGGCGUAAAGCGCUCGUAGGCGGUAUGUCAAGUCAAGGGUGAAAUCCCCGCGCUCAACGUGGGAACUGCCUUUGAAACUGGCAAACUGGAGUGUGUGAGAGGAUAGUGGAAUUCCAGGUGUAGGAGUGAAAUCCGUAGAUAUCUGGAGGAACAUCAGUGGCGAAGGCGACUAUCUGGCACAUAACUGACGCUGAGGAGCGAAAGCGUGGGUAGCAAACAGGAUUAGAUACCCCGGUAGUC
rnacentral:rRNA from 1 species